CCUACGGGGGUCAGCAGUGGGGAAUAUUGGGCAAUGGAGGCAACUCUGACCCAGCAACGCCGCGUGAAUGAUGAAGGUCUUCGGAUUGUAAAGUUCUUUUCUAAGGGAAGAAGAAUGUGACGGUACCUUAGGAAUAAGCCUCGGCUAACUACGUGCCAGCAGCCGCGGUAAGACGGAGGAGGCCAGCGUUAUCCGGAAUGACUGGGCGUACAGGGUUCGGAGGUGGUUUGACAAGGUAGUAGCGCAACUCCGGGGCUCAACUUCGGAACUACUACUAAAACUGUUGGACUUGAGUGCGGGAGAGGCAAUCGGAAUUCCUGGUGUAGCGGUGGAAUGCGUAGAUAUUAGGAGGAACACCAGUGGCGAAGGCGGAUUGCUAGACUGUAACUGACACUGAGGCACGAAAGCGUGGGGAGCAAACAGGAUUAGAUACCCGAGUAGUC
rnacentral:rRNA from 1 species